AGCACUGGGUGAUUGUUGCUGAAAUCUCACAAGUAGUUUCUUCUCCACUGCAUGUCCACGUGAUGUUAUCCAUCCAAUCUGCUUGUCAGUUACUGCACAGGUCCCUGAAAUACACAAAAAUCUUGGAAUCCAGAGAUUUCGCUGAGAAUUUUCUCUGAUCUAGUUUUGCAGAAUUGGGCCUCUCGUUUCUCAGGGCCAAAUCCUGGCUGUACCUGCACCCACAGCGCAGAGCUGGAUGGAGCUGUGCAUAAACUGGACUGUUUGAUCUCUAAAAGGCUGAAGAAAACCCCAGUCCUGAUACCCCAUACAUUGGUCCAGGGCAGAGGUGUUCUGGGCAGUGUGAGUUGGUUAAAGUGACAGUAGACAGGAUGAAGAAGGAUUAUAUGGCAAUGGAGAACUGACUGGAUCCCUCAACCCAUUAUUUUGAUUUUUUUUUAAAGAAGAAUGCUGUGGAGAAGACUGAUACCUAUAUCAUUACUUUACAAUGGGUCUGGAAAUGCUGUCUUUAGACUUUCAGAGACUGCAGCUCCCUGAGAGUACCUUGGUGCGUUGAUCACUGGAGGAAGGAAAACAAACGCCUUCAAAUUAAAAUGAAGAUAACUGAAAACAGUCUCAGGCCCCUGAAAAUUGUACAACAUAUCAACUAGCCACUAGCCUGAAGAUCAGUGAGCAAAGACAGAUGUGUACUAUGGCAUGUGAUGCUCAGACCCUUCAGAAUAAAAUUUUAAGAGCUGUGUGGGCUGUUAAAGAUAUUUCCUGUUGAGGAUAAGUUUUACCCAGACAAUAUGUCUACAUUGCUUAGAAAUAAUAUUUCCUGACACUAAGAAAUCACCAAAAAGCUUGUUUCACUACUCUUAACUAAUUUCUUGCCUUACAAUUACCCUACAGUCUCCUCCCCCAUUGUAGUUUAUCGCCUUUCCAUUCACCCACUUGCCCCUUCUUCUGCCCUUUUCUUCUCCCCUCCUUCUAUUAUUGCCCAGUAAACGAUACAAAAAUGAGAGGUGAGAAGAGGUAUCAGGACAAAUGCUCGGCUAGUGUAAAUUGUCAUAGUGCCAUUGAAAUCACUCGUGAUUAACUCGUAAGUGCCAUUCACUCAUCUGAAGUUAAUGGAGCUAUGAUUAUUUAGAACACCUGAAGUUCCGUCCCAUAACGAUAUUUUAAAAACUGCUAUCUAAGUUUUGGUACCUAAACAAAGGUGCACUGAUUUUCUUUGCAGGUGUUGAGCACCCAGUGAUAUCAUCUUGCAUCCAACAAAGUGGGUAUUCACCCACGAAAGCUCAUGCUCCAAUACGUCUGUUAGUCUAUAAGGUGACACAGGACUCUUUGCUGCUUUUACAGAUCCAGACUAACAUGGCUACCCCUCUGAUACCUGACACAGUGAUAUCACAAAAUCUUAGCAUUUUAAGUCAUAUUCUCUACAUUAUAUUAUUGAUGCAAAACUGUCUUGAACCAGAUUUAUAUUUAAAAAUAUGUAUAUUUUCCAAAUUAAAGAAAAGUAGAUCCAGAGU